rnacentral:rRNA from 1 species
AUUGAACGCUGGCGGCAUGCUUUACACAUGCAAGUCGAACGGUAACAGGCCUUCGGGUGCUGACGAGUGGCGAACGGGGGAGUAAUGCAUCGGAACGUGCCCAGAGGUGGGGGAUAACGCAGCGAAAGCUGUGCUAAUACCGCAUGUGAUCUGAGGAUGGAAGCGGGGGACCAAGCAGCAAUGUUUGGCCUCGCGCCUCUGGAGCGGCCGAUGUCAGAUUAGGUAGUUGGUGGGGUAAAGGCCUACCAAGCCGACGAUCUGUAGCUGGUCUGAGAGGACGACCAGCCACACUGGGACUGAGACACGGCCCAGACUCCUACGGGAGGCAGCAGUGGGGAAUUUUGGACAAUGGGCGCAAGCCUGAUCCAGCAAUGCCGCGUGCGGGAAGAAGGCCUUCGGGUUGUAAACCGCUUUUGUACGGAACGAAAAGGCUCUGGCUAAUACCUGGGGCUGAUGACGGUACCGUAAGAAUAAGCACCGGCUAACUACGUG